rnacentral:rRNA from 1 species
UCGAUUCCUGCUAACGAGCGACCCGAGGAACAUGUUUAAUGCACGGGCGUCGGGACGGGGGAAACCACGGACCGAUGCCCCGAGCACGGCGUCGACCACCGGUCUCUCGUCGUGCAAACAACCAACCCCGCGCAGAAACGCGCCAAGGAAAACUAAAAAAGGAUUGUCCUGCCUCCCUAGUGCCGUAUGCGGUGCGCACGGGAGGAUCACGGACGCCCAAAGAAACA